UUGAGAGUAAGAGAACAAAGAAAAGGAGGGAAGGAAUGGCGACCGAAGAAGAAAGCGCGGUCAAAGAGCCUCUCGAUCUUAUUAGACUCAGCCUCGACGAGAGAAUCUACGUUAAGCUUCGCUCCGACAGAGAGCUCAGAGGAAAACUGCACGCAUACGACCAGCACCUGAAUAUGAUACUAGGAGAUGUUGAAGAAAUCAUCACUACAGUAGAAAUUGAUGAUGAAACUUAUGAAGAGAUUGUUCGGACAACAAGGCGCACAGUACCAUUUCUUUUUGUGAGAGGGGAUGGUGUAAUAUUAGUUUCUCCCCCGUUAAGGACUGCUUGAUAUUGAUACAGAGGAGCACAUAUUAGGAUAUUUUUAGUUGGAGAUCCUCCCAAAAACUAUUUUCAUGUUAAGGGCUGAAGGACGAUGUGGCAUUUUAUCUGGUAAUAUUUUGGUAGGAAAUGGGGGUUCUUGUAUUUGUAGAAAGAAUCUAUACUAGGGACAGCAAAAAUGAGGGAAAAAAAUGAAGCUCCAGCACCUAGACGAACUGUUAGUAGUAGUAGUGGGUCCUGAUCCUUUUGGAAUCAGACUGAGCUACUAGGGACUUAGAAUUUGAGAAUAUAUUAAUCUAUU